UGCGCUAGAAGUUGGUUGUGGAGUGCUGAAAAUACAGGUUCUACGAGCUAUAAAGUUGUUGCUGAAUGUGCUAAUGUAAUGAAUGAAAUGGUUUCAGAUGAUGAAGGUGAAAUGAUGGGUGCUGCUGGUGUCACUAAUUUGGAGGAAUGACUAACAUUUAUUUGUUGAACAAUUUAAGUUGUUUCUUUUUCUUUAUUAUGUAAUUUGAAAGAAUGAAACAUGUUUAAGUUGCUAAACAAAAUGAAACAUGUUGAAGGACAACCAACAUAGUAUAUUAAUAUCUCCUUUUUUGCUAAAUAGAAUCAUAUGCUACUUAUUGUUGGGACAACAUAUAUUUAGAUGGUAAUGUUUUUUUUUGGGGGGGAAAUAAAUAUGCAUGUCUUAAUUCCUCAUGCAAUACCCAAAUUUUAUGAUUUUAAUUGAAUAGAUUGAUUUGUUUUAGUAAUUUU